UACGUAGGGUGCAAGCGUUAAUCGGAAUUACUGGGCGUAAAGCGUGCGCAGGCGGUGAUGUAAGACAGGUGUGAAAUCCCGGGCCGUUAACCUGGGAACUGCAUUUGUGACUGCAUCGCUGGAGUGCGGCAGAGGGGGAUGGAAUUCCGCGUGUAGCAGUGAAAUGCGUAGAUAUGCGGAGGAACACCGAUGGCGAAGGCAAUCCCCUGGGCCUGCACUGACGCUCAUGCACGAAAGCGUGGGGAGCAAACAGG
rnacentral:rRNA from 1 species